rnacentral:rRNA from 1 species
AUUGAACGCUGGCGGAAUGCUUUACACAUGCAAGUCGAGCGGCAGCACGGGGGCAACCCUGGUGGCGAGCGGCGAACGGGUGAGUAACACAUCGGAACGUACCCUGUCGUGGGGGAUAACGAGUCGAAAGAUUCGCUAAUACCGCAUACGACCCGAGGGUGAAAGCGGGGGAUCGCAAGACCUCGCGCGACUGGAGCGGCCGAUGGCGGAUUAGCUAGUUGGUGGGGUAAAGGCCCACCAAGGCGACGAUCCGUAGCGGGUCUGAGAGGACGGCCCGCCACACUGGGACUGAGACACGGCCCAGACUCCUACGGGAGGCAGCAGUGGGGAAUUUUGGACAAUGGGGGCAACCCUGAUCCAGCCAUUCCGCGUGAGUGAGAAGGCCUCGGUUGUAAGG